rnacentral:ribozyme from 1 species
UUUUUUUUUUUUUUUUUUUUUUUUUUUUUUGU